UGGAGAGGAAGUCCAUAGUUUGUUCAUGGGGACACAGGAAAGCGAGAGAAACAGUCUGGGACUGACGCAAAAUCCUAUGCUAUACAGACUCAUGGUAAUGGCUAUAUUUGACCAAAGAGAGGCGUAGCCUGCAUUGAAAGAGGCGUUGACAAGGUGGCCAAGAUGUUGAUAAAAGUAAAACACAGAGAGACAAAGAAAUAUGUAAAAUUGGAAGAGGUCUGUUUCACAGACGAGUGCAGUGCAGCAGAAGUUUCUCAUACCAGAAAAUGCAGCACUGAAAGUGAGCAGGAUAUAGAGGUGGAUGAGGAUGUCUUUCCUGAACUUGCAACAGUCAAAUAAGUUUGUUUUGUCAUCUAUACAGCUGAAGACAUCCUGGAAAUGGUAAAUGGCCUGUAUUUGUAUAGCGCUUUACUAAUCCCUAAGGACCCCAAAGCGCUUCACACAUUCAGUCGUGAAAACUGCCCAGCACAUCGCCGGAGCAGCACUUCCUGCCAUAAAAGACAUCUACAGGAAGCGGUGUCUGAAAAGGGCUGGGAAAAUCAUCAGAGACCCCAGUCUCCCAUCACAUGGACUCUUCACCCUCCUGCCCUCUGGGAGGCGCUACAGGAGCCUCCGGACUAAGACCACCAGGUACCGGAACAGCUUCUUCCCCACAGCUGUCAGACUCCUGAACUCUGCCUCCUGACAUCUGACAGCCUCUGUAGAAAUUAUCCACACCCUCACUUAUCUUAACUGCACUACUGUAUAGCUCUGUGUAAAUAAUCAUUCUGUACAUACAAUAAUUUUUAACCUUACAACUGUUUACAACUUGCAUAGUUCCCAUUUCUGUAUAACUGUAUAUCUCAUAUUUCUGUAAAGUUAUUUAUUUCAUACUCUGUAUAGUUUUUCAUAUUUAUAUCCUGUUCAUAUUCAAUUCAAUUCAAUUCAAUUCAAUUUUAUUUAUAUAGCGCCAAAUCACAACAAAAGUCGCCUCAAGGCGCUUUAUAUUGUACAGUAGAUAGCACAAUAAUAAAUACAGAGAAAAACCCAACAAUCAUAUGACCCCCUAUGAGCAAGCACUUUGGCGACAGUGGGAAGGAAAAACUCCCUUUUAACAGGAAGAAACCUCCGGCAGAACCAGGCUCAGGGAGGGGCAGCCAUCUGCUGAGACCGGUUGGGGUGAAAGAAGAAAAACAGGAUGAAAGAC
ensembl:lncRNA